rnacentral:miRNA from 12 species
GGGGGGGGGGGGGGGGGGGGGGGGGGGGGGGGGGGGGGGGGGGGGGGGGGGCGCGGCUGCUGCGCGUGGGGCGCCGCCCC